AGAGUUUGAUCCUGGCUCAGGAUGAACGCUGGCGGCGUGCCUAAUACAUGCAAGUCGAGCGAACGGACGAGAAGCUUGCUUUUCUGAUGUUAGCGGCGGACGGGUGAGUAACACGUGGAUAACCUACCUAUAAGACUGGGAUAACUUCGGGAAACCGGAGCUAAUACCGGAUAAUAUUUUGAACCGCAUGGUUCAAAAGUGAAAGACGGUCUUGCUGUCACUUAUAGAUGGAUCCGCGCUGCAUUAGCUAGUUGGUAAGGUAACGGCUUACCAAGGCAACGAUGCAUAGCCGACCUGAGAGGGUGAUCGGCCACACUGGAACUGAGACACGGUCCAGACUCCUACGGGAGGCAGCAGUAGGGAAUCUUCCGCAAUGGGCGAAAGCCUGACGGAGCAACGCCGCGUGAGUGAUGAAGGUCUUCGGAUCGUAAAACUCUGUUAUUAGGGAAGAACAUAUGUGUAAGUAACUGUGCACAUCUUGACGGUACCUAAUCAGAAAGCCACGGCUAACUACGUGCCAGCAGCCGCGGUAAUACGUAGGUGGCAAGCGUUAUCCGGAAUUAUUGGGCGUAAAGCGCGCGUAGGCGGUUUUUUAAGUCUGAUGUGAAAGCCCACGGCUCAACCGUGGAGGGUCAUUGGAAACUGGAAAACUUGAGUGCAGAAGAGGAAAGUGGAAUUCCAUGUGUAGCGGUGAAAUGCGCAGAGAUAUGGAGGAACACCAGUGGCGAAGGCGACUUUCUGGUCUGUAACUGACGCUGAUGUGCGAAAGCGUGGGGAUCAAACAGGAUUAGAUACCCUGGUAGUCCACGCCGUAAACGAUGAGUGCUAAGUGUUAGGGGGUUUCCGCCCCUUAGUGCUGCAGCUAACGCAUUAAGCACUCCGCCUGGGGAGUACGACCGCAAGGUUGAAACUCAAAGGAAUUGACGGGGACCCGCACAAGCGGUGGAGCAUGUGGUUUAAUUCGAAGCAACGCGAAGAACCUUACCAAAUCUUGACAUCCUUUGACAACUCUAGAGAUAGAGCCUUCCCCUUCGGGGGACAAAGUGACAGGUGGUGCAUGGUUGUCGUCAGCUCGUGUCGUGAGAUGUUGGGUUAAGUCCCGCAACGAGCGCAACCCUUAAGCUUAGUUGCCAUCAUUAAGUUGGGCACUCUAAGUUGACUGCCGGUGACAAACCGGAGGAAGGUGGGGAUGACGUCAAAUCAUCAUGCCCCUUAUGAUUUGGGCUACACACGUGCUACAAUGGACAAUACAAAGGGCAGCGAAACCGCGAGGUCAAGCAAAUCCCAUAAAGUUGUUCUCAGUUCGGAUUGUAGUCUGCAACUCGACUACAUGAAGCUGGAAUCGCUAGUAAUCGUAGAUCAGCAUGCUACGGUGAAUACGUUCCCGG
rnacentral:rRNA from 1 species